rnacentral:lncRNA from 1 species
UAAAUACAAACAAAAGGGAAAAUAAGUGGUUUGGGUUCAGAGCCAAUAUCCUUAUUCUUUUCACUGUGUUUGUUCUACAUCUCAUUUCCAAUUCUUUUCUUUUUCAGUUUGCAUUGCUCAAUUCUUUUUUUCUUUGAUUUUCUCUUCUCUUUUUUUUUUUCAACUGAGCGCUUCUCAUUCGGUGAGUGCUUAUCUUGUACCAUCGAAUACAUUUUUUUCUUUUU